GGAAAAACUGAGGCCCAGAGAGAGGUUACAUCCAGUUCAUCCCAGAGCUGGGGCUGGAAGCCAAGCCUGCUCACCUGGACUGGUUUUCUUCCUUGGCCCCCGGGGUCUCAAACAAAGGGAUUCAUAUGAACCUGGAAGUAAGGCACAGCCAAGCUGAAAUGUCUCCCAUAACAGGCUGGCUGCUUUGAUGUAAGGUAGUAAACACCUGGCCACAGAGGGAAGCCGAGGGACUCUCCUUCCAUGGAAGAUGAUCAGCAUCACAGGAAUGGAACACGCAGCAAGAGGUACUGAGUAUUUUCCUCCCAGCACUUUGAUUCUCCAAGGAGAAAUACAGUGUUUCAAACGUGUCUUCAGAUUUCCUUCUGAAUUCUAUACCCUUGGCAUCUGAAUAGGCUCAAAUCAGCCCGACCAAGACUGCUGUGUCUCUCCAAGGUUUCUCUGUG
ensembl:lncRNA